rnacentral:rRNA from 1 species
UCGGGAAUUUUGGGCAAUGGGCGAAAGCCUGAUCCAGCCAUGCCGCGUGAGUGACGAAGGCCUUAGGGUUGUAAAACUCUUUCGUCGGGGACGAUAAUGACGGUACCCGAAGAAGAAGCUCCGGCUAACUUCGUGCCAGCAGCCGUGGUAAUACGAAGGGAGCUAGCGUUGUUCGGAAUCACUGGGCGUAAAGCGCACGUAGGCGGAUAGUUAAGUCAGGGGUGAAAUCCUGGGGCUCAACCCCAGAACUGCCUUUGAUACUGGCUGUCUCGAGGCCGAGAGAGGUUGGUGGAAUUCCUAGUGUAGAGGUGAAAUUCGUAGAUAUUAGGAAGAACACCAGUGGCGAAGGCGGCCAACUGGCUCGAUACUGACGCCGAGGUGCGAAAGCGUGGGGAGCAAACAGGAUUAGAUACCCCCGUAGUCCCUGAGCGGGCUGGCAAGGCGCAU